CUCGCGGUACAGACGUGUGUCAUAAUUUCACAAGAAAUGAAAGUGAUUAUUAAGUAAAAAUAUCCAGAAUUUUAGGUCCGUGUCUCCACGUAACAAACUGUGAUAUUGGACAAUUUAAAAAGAUAUUUCUCUGACACCUAAGGUCAAGAAGAUAAAUUUUGGCUGCCUCGACCGAAAUGUCGUCGAGAACCUUCCACAGAAGCGGCGCCAGGGAGGGACGGAGUUUCAUUACAGAUGCUGCAGUGCUGACUGGUGUUUACCUCAUGAGUAGGUCGUUGUAGACUAUUCAAAGAGUUUCUUUACGGUUGUUUUGUACAAAUUACAUGUAGAGGUACACCCUUAUGUAAACAUUUUUAAAUAAAUUACAGUCACUUGUA